rnacentral:rRNA from 1 species
UAGUCCACGCUGUAAACGAUGUCAACUAGCCGUUGGGGGGUAAUCCCUUUAGUGGCGCAGCUAACGCGAUAAGUUGACCGCCUGGGGAGUACGGUCGCAAGAUUAAAACUCAAAUGAAUUGACGGGGGCCCGCACAAGCGGUGGAGCAUGUGGUUUAAUUCGACGCAACGCGAAGAACCUUACCUGGUCUUGACAUCCUGCGAACUUUCUAGAGAUAGAUUGGUGCCUUCGGGAACGCAGUGACAGGUGCUGCAUGGCUGUCGUCAGCUCGUGUCGUGAGAUGUUGGGUUAAGUCCCGUAACGAGCGCAACCCUUGUCCUUAGUUGCCAUCACUUAGGGUGGGCACUUUAGGGAGACUGCCGGUGACAAACCGGAGGAAGGUGGGGACGACGUCAAAUCAUCAUGGCCCUUACGACCAGGGCUACACACGUGCUACAAUGGGAAGUACAAAGGGUUGCAACCCCGCGAGGGUGAGCUAAUCCCAUAAAACUUUUCGUAGUCCGGAUUGGAGUCUGCAACUCGACUCCA